rnacentral:pre_miRNA from 1 species
UUAACUCAAAUUUGUAUGGAGUUGGAAUGUUUGCUUACGUUUGCCUCUAGGGGCGCUGUUCCAACUCCAUACAAGUUUGAGUUA